rnacentral:rRNA from 1 species
UACGUAGGGGGCAAGCGUUGUCCGGAAUCAUUGGGCGUAAAGAGCGUGUAGGUGGCUCGGUAAGUCCGCUGUGAAAGUCCAGGGCUCAACCCUGGAAAGCCGGUGGAAACUGUCGAGCUCGAGUCCGGAAGAGGCGAGUGGAAUUCCUGGUGUAGCGGUGAAAUGCGCAGAUAUCAGGAGGAACACCAAUGGCGAAGGCAGCUCGCUGGGACGGUACUGACACUGAGACGCGAAAGCGUGGGGAGCGAACAGG